rnacentral:rRNA from 1 species
AUGUGCCUUUGUGUGGGGGAUAACCAUUGGAAACGAUGGCUAAUACCGCAUAAUGUCUUCGGACCAAAGGGGGGAACUUGUUCCUCUCGCGCAAAGAGUAACCCAAGCGAGAUUAGCUAGUUGGUGAGGUAAAGGCUCACCAAGGCGACGAUCUCUAGCUGUUCUGAGAGGAAGAUCAGCCACACUGGAACUGAGACACGGUCCAGACUCCUACGGGAGGCAGCAGUGGGGAAUAUUGCACAAUGGGCGCAAGCCUGAUGCAGCCAUGCCGCGUGUGUGAAGAAGGCCUUCGGGUUGUAAAGCACUUUCAGUUGUGAGGAAAGGUUAAUGGUUAAUACCCAUUAGCUGUGACGUUAGCAACAGAAGAAGGACUGGCUAACUCCGUGCCAGCAGCCGCGGUAAUACGGAGGGUCCGAGCGUUAAUCGGAAUUACUGGGCGUAAAGCGCACGCAGGCGGUUUGUUAAGCUAGAUGUGAAAGCCCCGGGCUCAACCUGGGAAUUGCAUUUAGAACUGGCAGGCUAGAGUCUUGGAGAGGGGAGUGGAAUUCCAGGUGUAGCGGUGAAAUGCGUAGAUAUCUGGAGGAACAUCAGUGGCGAAGGCGACUCCCUGGCCAAAGACUGACGCUCAUGUGCGAAAGUGUGGGUUAGCGAACAG